rnacentral:rRNA from 1 species
CCUACGGGAGGCAGCAGUGAGGAAUAUUGGUCAAUGGGCGUAAGCCUGAACCAGCCAAGUCGCGUGAGGGAUGAAGGUUCUAUGGAUCGUAAACCUCUUUUAUAAGGGAAUAAAGUGAGGGACGUGUCCCGUUUUGUAUGUACCUUAUGAAUAAGGAUAGGCUAACUCCGUGCCAGCAGCCGCGGUAAUACAGAGGGUCCGAGCGUUGACCGGAUUUAUUGGGUUUAAAGGGUGCGUAGGCGGGAUGUUAAGUCAGCGGUGAAAGUCCGUGGCUCAACCAUAGAACUGCCGUUGAAACUGGCAGUCUUGAGUGUGUUGGAGGCAGGCGGAAUUCGUGGUGUAGCGGUGAAAUCCUUAGAUAUCUCGCAGAACCCCGAUUGCCAAGGCAGCCUGCCAAGCCAUGACUGACGCUGAUGCACGAAAGCGUGGGGAUCAAACAGGAUUAGAUACCCGUGUAGUC